AUUCAACUGAUGGGUUGUAAAUAAGACGAAACGCAUGUUCUGAAU
rnacentral:hammerhead_ribozyme from 1 species